rnacentral:rRNA from 1 species
AGGGUUUGAUCCUGGCUCAGAUUGAACGCUGGCGGCAGGCCUAACACAUGCAAGUCGAGCGGUAACAGGGGAAGCUUGCUUUCUGCUGACGAGCGGCGGACGGGUGCGUAACACGUAGGAAUCUGCCUGGUAGUGGGGGAUAGCCCGGAGAAAUCCGGAUUAAUACCGCAUACGCCCUAAGGGGGAAAGCAGGGGAUCAGUUUACUGACCUUGCGCUAUCAGAUGAGCCUGCGUCGGAUUAGCUUGUUGGUGGGGUAAAGGCCUACCAAGGCGACGAUCCGUAGCUGGUCUGAGAGGAUGAUCAGCCACACUGGGACUGAGACACGGCCCAGACUCCUACGGGAGGCAGCAGUGGGGAAUAUUGCACAAUGGGCGCAAGCCUGAUGCAGCCAUGCCGCGUGUGUGAAGAAGGCCUUAGGGUUGUAAAGCACUUUCAGCGAGGAGGAAAGGUGAUUAGUUAAUACCUGAUUACUGUGACGUUACUCGCAGAAGGAGCACCGGCUAACUCCGUGCCAGCAGCCGCGGUAAUACGGAGGGUGCGAGCGUUAAUCGGAAUUACUGGGCGUAAAGCGUGCGUAGGCGGCUACUUAAGUUGGAUGUGAAAGCCCCGGGCUUAACCUGGGAACUGCAUCCAAAACUGGGUGGCUAGAGUGCGAGAGAGGAGUGUGGAAUUUCCUGUGUAGCGGUGAAAUGCGCAGAUAUAGGAAGGAACACCAGUGGCGAAGGCGACACUCUGGCUUGACACUGACGCUGAGGUACGAAAGCGUGGGGGAGCAAACAGGAUUAGAUACCCUGGUAGUCCACGCCGUAAACGAUGUCUACUAAUUGUCC